GCAUACAGGCCACGUUCUGUUUUCUUGUGCACAGUCGCAACACCACGGAUCAUUCCCUAGGAAUAAAGUCGUUCACAAGAUCGUGCCAAGAAACACACCAAGAAACCGAUCGUUAUUUGUGAACAUUCACUUCGAUCAUGCUUAAACCGAUACUUUGUUCACGUUCGUUUGUAACGUAUCGAUAUUACCAGCGUUGAUAAUUGUUCAGAUGUUACGAAAAAUACGAGUACGAAUAUCACAUACGGUGAAAACAUAAACGCGCCAUCAGUUAUUCGUAAACGCACCGCACGCGACAGUUUGCGAUUUCUUAAAGAUACAUACAGCAACUCGAUCUACAUAGGCGUCAAUCGUAACAAGCAUCUAUCAACACCAGAAUCAAACGCAAAAGCUUUGCUUAAAAUGGAUAGAGGGAGCUGGCCGCAGUUGUCAACGGCGUACGUGAACAGAAGGCUGGUCGAUAUGGGAAAAAAAGAAUACCGAAAGUGACGAUUACCGCGUAACACAAUAUUCAUGGUACGUACCGGGAAGAACGAUUACUCCUUAUGUUCCUCUUCUUUUCUAUCUUGAACGAAAAAGAAGCACAAUGACAGUUCACUCACGAUAAUGGCAGAUGCGCACGACAGCCUGUCACGUGGUAAAGGGUAAAAAUUACCCGUUUGCACGUGUGCGCCUACUAACGUUUGUAUGCAUGCUUAUACACGUGAAUCGCGCGUGCAAGUGUACAUUCAUAGAUGUGUGAAUGUAUCGCGUUGUUGAAUAUAUGUAAACGUAUAUGUGUACGUAGAGCGGUAGGUGUGCAAAAACACUGCAACAACACGGCGCGUGGACGGUCGCGUCUGGACUGAUCGUGGGGGUCGAGCCACAGGUGUCAUCAGACGGCGGCUGCUCCACCCCUCUGCCCCCACCCGGCUUCCUCACCCGCCUUCAAUCCCCACUCUCGUCGUUACUUUCACGCACACGUCUACUCGUGCCGGAGGAGACGCGUGCGCACAUCAACCGGCUUCCUCUAUCCUCUAUAAUCAUGCAAUAUCAUUUGCUCUACCCAUGGCGCCUAUGAACUGACCGAACCGCGGCACGUGCUUUGCAUUCUAUCUUACAAAUGAUAUGGACAAGUUUUUCAAAUUGAUCUACAUCGCUAUUAGAAUUAAUAGGAACCAUUAAGAACUUACCGUUUAAUUAUUCACCAUGCGUUUAGAAAUCUAUUUAAGCAUCGGUAAUUCGUCAGUAGCUUGAAAUAUUACAUAAGGUGAAAAUCAGUAGAUAACCAAGUUAUUGUGGAUCGAGCAUUACUUAUCGUACACUGUACCGUACACUUCAGAAAAGGUGGAUACUUGAAUUACCUCGAAAAUACACACAAAAUUAUGACAAAAGUAGAUGAAGAAUUUAGACAGGAAAAUGAAGGAUGUUAAAUAUUACUGAAUAUAAAUGUUCGUAAUUCAAAUAGAUAUUUAUUCAAAAACCAGUGUAUUUCGUGGCAAAAUGUAUAACGUCAGUUAUUGACGCAAUGCUCAUGACGUAUUCUCACUCACCCAGUCGCACUCAUACGAAUUCCUCCCUCUCUGUGAUUUAUACUCUUUACUACUUAUAUGUAUAUAUAUUUUUCUUUAUGUUUGCUUAUAGAAUAUUUAAUAUUUUUCUCUCUAUUUAUUCAUCAUUUCUGUUUCAAUUCGUAUCUGUACGCAUAGUAUCAUUGUAUUUAUCCCUAACACAACUUGAAGAACUGUAUUACAUACAUAAACAUAUGCAUGAAAUCAAUUUAAGACUAGUCAUCCGACACCAAGCGAUCUUAGUACCAAAAUAGUAACAUUUAUCUAAUAUCGGUAAUUUACAGUUGACGUACCAAAAUAAACACAAUGGGGUUUUAUCUACACCUAUUACCA